rnacentral:tRNA from 1 species
ACUGGUCGGGAUAGCUC